rnacentral:lncRNA from 1 species
CGUGCUCUCCAUCAUGCGCUGCGUCUGCUUCAACUGCUCCAAGAUCCUCGCCGAUGAGGAUGAUGAGGUCUCCUUUCCUUUUAAGACGUGUACCUGCGCAUUAAGUUUACCAGGUUAAUUGUUGGUCGGUGCAUAUCAUCAUCUAGCUAAACUGACAUCAUAACAAUCUUAGUUCUCACCAUUCACUAGCUAUAUUUAUGUUUGUCCAAUUCUGCACCUGUUCACUGAACAUGCAUGGUAAAUUUGAACUUUAUAGAAUCUUUCCAACGGUUUGGUGUGAUGGACCUGUAGAUGCAAUUGCUUUAGAUAGACUUCUUGCAUCUUUGUUAUGGACCUGCAACUCGACAUCCGAAGCCAAGAAUAUUUUUGUGAAUUUUCGGUCUCUUUGAUAGAGCCUGCUAUUGGUAGAACAAAAUAAGAAUGCAUUGAUGACGUGCCCCCCUAGCAGUGCAUAUUUCAUCAGUUGUUGUCUUUGGUAAAAUAAUCAGUACCAUGGAGCAUAAUUACAAACAACUUUACAGUUUCGUCUGAACCAAUUCUGAAAAGGUUGUUCUUGCAUGUUAGCUGCUAAUUAAGCAUUGUCAUAGGGUGGGCAUCUAUAUAUGCUUGUGUGCCUGAGUGCCUCUCUUGAUCUUGGCAUGUUAUUGACCAGUCUGGUAUCUCUUGCAGAAGGGUAAUAACAAGUUCAAGCAGGCUCUGAAAAUCAAGAACCCAAAAAAUAGAUUACGAAAAAUACAGGAGGCUUGCAAGAGCAAAAAGGUUUGUUCUGCGGGUGAGGAUGAUCUUGAGGGUCAGGACACCGAUGAGCCAGUGAAGAAAAGAGGUGGCUGUGGUGCUCAGCAGCCAAAGAUCACAGUUGAUGGUAUGAAGAUGGUUGCAGAGUUUAAAGCAACAAACAAGAAGAAUGGCGAUCAAGAUCAACUCCCUGAACCAGUGGAGCGAAAGCAAAUUCUCUCUGCCGAGAGGGUAUGUACACUAUUAUCUUUAUUUACUCCAUUAAAUACUAGGUUAUAAAAAAAUCAUCUAACCACCUCAUGGUAAAUUUCUUGGGGCAGGUUCUUAAUGUUCUCAAGCGUAUAAGUGAUGAGGAUUGUCUUUUGUUGGGCCUGGAUCCUAAAUAUGCUCGUCCUGAUUGGAUGAUACUGCAAGUCCUUCCAAUUCCUCCGCCGCCUGUGAGACCAUCUGUCAUGAUGGACACUUACUCCAGAAGUGAGGUUAGCCCAGUACUAGUAAAUUAUGACUACGAAUCCAAUGGUUUGUUGGUUGACAUGGCAGAUGGCACCCUUUCACUCACUGUUUGUUUAUCUUGCCGGUUCCUACAGGAUGAUUUGACUCACCAAUUAGCGAUGAUAAUUCGGCAUAAUGAGAAUCUGAGGAGGCAAGAGAGAAAUGGAGCCCCAGCCCACAUUAUAGCAGAGUUUGCUCAGUUGUUGCAGUUUCACAUUGCAACAUACUUCGACAAUGAUCUUCCAGGGCAACCAAGGGUGAGUAGUCAGUCUACAAGUGCACUUUCCACAUUAAUUAAUCACUAAUGCUAAGUAGUUGACCUGAUUAUCUUCUGCCGAAA